CGUUUUCUUCUUCUCAGCGUAAGUGAGAUACUUUAAGCUUUUUUCCUUCCCUUAGUUUACU
rnacentral:tRNA from 1 species